AUCGAUCCUGUGGCGAAUGGCAUUCAGCACUUCGCACAUCCAAGACAGGGAGAGAGAGGAGAAAAACAUUUUGUCAAUACUCUAAUGAUUGAGGCAGAGAAUGGCAAGAUGGACGAGAUGCAGGUUUAUUUUAUAGGAAAAAUCCGUCGAGAGACGACCAACUUACCAACAGGGAAAUUCAGCAGCGUCUGCCCCGGAGAGGCCGCCAACUACGCCCAUCAGAAGCUGUUGUUCACAAAAAUGAAGUGCAGAUUGUAUGCUCCAACGCAUGGAGCUGCUCACUGGGUCCUCUCAUCGCAAGAAAGCCCCACCACUGCGGAGGAACAAGCAGGAAUACAUUAAAAGGUAAUGAGAGAUCAGUCAGAAGAGGGUCAUGCAGGGGCACUGCUUGGCAUCGUGGUGUUGGAGAGAGCUUUCAGCGUGAUGGUCUUGUCAUCUCUGUCGAGGAGCCAGAAGGGGUGGAGUUCAACAACGUUACUCAUGGCAACAGUUGCUAAGCCUGGCUUCUUGUUGAUGUGGUUAUUUGUAAAUCAAAACUGUGCGCAUUGCAUUAGCCAGGCCUAUUUACAAUUAAGCCCUCUUGCAUUUAUGUAAUGUGUAUGUACUUUCAUGUACAAUGUAAAAUGCAAUUAUUCAGAUGAUCUGAAUAAAUGUUUCAAACCGGCCUAUUCA